rnacentral:rRNA from 1 species
UGGGGAAUUUUGGACAAUGGGCGAAAGCCUGAUCCAGCAAUGCCGCGUGUGUGAAGAAGGCCUUCGGGUUGUAAAGCACUUUUGUCCGGAAAGAAAUCCUUGGCUCUAAUACAGUCGGGGGAUGACGGUACCGGAAGAAUAAGCACCGGCUAACUACGUGCCAGCAGCCGCGGUAAUACGUAGGGUGCAAGCGUUAAUCGGAAUUACUGGGCGUAAAGCGUGCGCAGGCGGUUUGCUAAGACCGAUGUGAAAUCCCCGGGCUCAACCUGGGAACUGCAUUGGUGACUGGCAGGCUAGAGUAUGGCAGAGGGGGGUAGAAUUCCACGUGUAGCAGUGAAAUGCGUAGAGAUGUGGAGGAAUACCGAUGGCGAAGGCAGCCCCCUGGGCCAAAUACUGACGCUCAUGCACGAAAGGCGUGGGGAGCAAAGCAGGAUUAGAUACCCUGGUAGUCCACGCCCUAAACGAUGUCAACUAGUUGUUGGGGAUUCAUUUCCUUAGUAACGUAGCUAACGCGUGAAGUUGACCGCCUGGGGAGUACGGUCGC